GGCUCCACAGCGCCUGCCCCUCCUCCCUAGUACAACCGGAUAAAUGUUAAUCAUCUCCGAGGGACAACAGCGAGGACGCUCUGCUCCGGGAGGAUGGAUGUGCCGCAAGCUUUCUGGGCAUCAAAUCGUGCUGAACUAAACCAUUAACAAAUUGUCGCAUCUGCAUCUGGCCCGGCUUGCUAGGUUCUCGGCCUCACCUGCGCCAUGGACGAUGGUGGGAGGUGACAGGCGAGGCUGCACCGGAAGAAGAACAAUACGUACAUGCCCCCGACGGCGGGCGGCUCCUCCAGAUGCGACAGGGUAGCCGGGGCGCCAGGGGCAGCGACAGGUUCCAGUCUGGCGGGACUAUCAUGUUGUUGCCUCUAUCUCUGCUAACAUCUACAAGGAAAAGAACAAGGAGCACAAGCGAACAUCAAUGCACAAUGAAAAUUAGUACUGCAAAACGCAGGCCCCUCAUAUGGAAACCGUAAUGCCCCACAGUAUUGACAGUCCGGAACUUUUCUCAGAACAUGAUGCUGCUUAGGAAGGUUUCGGUAUAUGAAUUCCUCAUUUGCUGCCCCAUGUGUUUCUACUGUAGGAUUGCUUCCAAUAUGAUACGAUUCAUAAGGAACAUCUAGCACAAAACAAUAAAAUAUAUUCAAUUAACACUCAUAGUAGUACUAUAAUAUGUAUCUAAAAUGGAAAAUACAGAGGACAUACCUUGUUCAGUAAAUAUUCUAGCUUCUUCAUCAGGUUCAUGGAAUGCAGCUUCUUCUUGUUGCAUGGUCCCCAAGCAAUCUAGGAGAUAAUAUAUUGAUCAAACAUAAUUGGCUUGGUGAAUAAUUCGAAGUGUACAUGAAAAUAUAUGUAAUUGUACCAUCUAAACUGGAUUGGUGUAGAGUGGGCUCAAAUAUUCCAUAUGGAUCAUCUAUCUGGUCGUUAACCGCUAUUAAAAUCAUCAGAUCAUUAGAGCAUAACAUUAUAAGUAUUACAGUACCCAGUACAUGUAGGGUUGUGAAUAUAAAUUUGACUAUUUUCAUUGGUUUUACCAGCAUCGAGGGUUGCAUCCAUUUCUUGAAUCCUACAAUUAGCUGGAGCAUUUGUAGGUUGAUUGGAGCCAAUAUAAGGCUCUGUACCUGAAUAGACAUAAGUGAAUUAUUUAUGGUUAAAUAAACGAUAUUAUACUCCAUUAUUCACGUUUGCUCUUUUAUUAGUAGUGGGAUGUGCACCUGGGAGAAUGGACAUACCUUCUGCAGUAAAUAUUCUAGGUUCUUCAUCAGGCUCAUGGUCUGCGCCUUCUCCAUGUUGCACCGUCCCCGAGCAAUCUAGGAGGAUGUCAAAGAAGUUACAGGUAUGUGGAUGUUUGUCGGCAGCGAGGAGUGAAGGAGGAGCGUUGGAUGUCACGAUGCAGGAGAUGGGCGGCACGGCAGCGUCGGACGGUGCGGCUAGG